rnacentral:lncRNA from 1 species
CAAAAUCCUCCAAGUGGUCUGUGUUCGUGGACGAAUCAAUCCAGAAGGCAUGUGUGGGAAUUGGUGGUGCCGAAGGCCAUCCAGGGCAAUCAACUUAUGGUGGCAAAUUUCACAUUGAGAAAUACAACUUUGGGUACAAGCUUGUGUUCUGCAUCACUGGCUCACAAACUUGCUUGGAUAUUGGGAGAUUUGAUGCCAAGAACGGCGAGGAAGGAAGACGCUUGAUUACCACUGAGCAUGAAGCAUUCGAUAUUGUGUUCGUACCAGCUUUUGAAGCUGAUAAGGUUAUUAAGUCCGUAGCUUGAAUCAAAUAUCUCUAAUUAAUAAGAUUUUAGUUAAUGCAAUCAUUUCUUUUGAUUUGCAUUACCUAAGAGAAUCUAUUCCAAAACUGAAUAAGAGAGUUAAUUGCUAACUUUCUUGCGUGAUAUCUUUCUCUCUUUCAUCUCUUUCAAACUUCAAUGAAAGACAUUAAAAAAAUUUAGGUUUAAUAUUAUGAGAAGCCCACACAAGUCCAUGCACUACAAAAAUUUACAAUUUUUUUAGGGUUAUUUUUUUAUUUCCGACGGUGUUAACUUCCAAAUAAUCAUUACCCGUGGUUUGAAAAACUAUUGAAAAAAACUGUUUCGCUAAAUAAUAAUCGACAACUUUUAAAAAAAUCGUCAGUAUUAGCGUGAGCUUGGAGAAAACCGUCAAUAUUAAUGGGGUUUUGGAAAAACCACCGGUAAUAAUGGUGAUUUCUCAAAACUCACUGAUAUUUGCAGAGGUUUCUCAAAAACUAUCUAUAUUUCCAGGAGUUUUGAAGAAACCGUCAAUAUAAUCAGAGAUUUCUAAAAAUCUGUCAAUAUUUACAAAAAUUAUAGAAAAACCGUCAGAAAUGUGUGCAGAAGUUUUUGAUUAUUGAUUAAAUGAAAUUAUGAUCAAAUUAUUUUAAUAACCACAGUGAAAUAAUAAGAACUAAAGCUGAAUAUUAUAUGUAAAAUAAAUUACAUUAUUCAAUAUAUUAAUAUAAUUCAUAUAUUUAAUUUUUUUUUCAUAAAUAAAAAUUAAAAAGAAAAAUAUUCAAUACUAAAUUAAAAUAUUAAAAAUAUGACCGAGAAAGAUGUUCAUUAAGAAUCUUGAUUUUGAUACAUAAAGUUCAUAAUAAUGAAUUCAGUUGCACAAAAUUUUUCAAAAUCCAUCUUUCUAUAUUGUAAUGAAUUCAACUGUCAUAAAAAAGAAAUAUAAAGAUGUAAGAUUGAAAUAAAUCAAAUUAAGUGAUAUAUCUAUAUACACAGAACAAAAUAGUUUUACUGAAAAAAGAAAGUCAGGGAUGCGAGACUCUUUCAUGGCAUAUGUUUUCUACCAAAAUAAUAGGUUUCUGGAAGCAUGUUGACACCAUUAUUAAAUUCAAUUCACAUAAAUAUAAUAAAAUUAGUUUCUUUGUCGUAAAUAGAAUUGAUAAUGAUAGAUAUAUCUUUUAUGGUUCAAAAAUCCUACUCCUAUUUGUUAAAUUCGAUUAAAUUUGUGCACUUGUCAAAAUAGAUUAAUAUUGAUUAAAUAAUUAUCAUAGUUAUCUAUUUACUUAAUUUAAAUUGUAGUUCGAGUUUGAAAACCAAAUAAAAAUUGAGUAUAUUUAUAAUUCAGUUAUAAUUCUAAUUAUUCAAAUAGUUAUUUCUAUUAUAUAUAAAAUAAAGUCCAACUUCAUACUAUUUGUUAUCUCUAGUUUAUCAAUACUAACAACUUUUAUAUAUAUUUAUAUAUAUAUAAACAUCAUCUGCAAAAUGUUUUCCUACUCUUCAUCCAAAUUCAUAAAAGUCACAAAAACAUGUAAAAAGGUUUUCAGUAACUCACUCACAUUCUCACCCUGUUCAAUUGAUUGAGUAAUCAAAUUAUGAUGGCAAUUCAAAUUUGGAAUUUAAAUAUUCUCCAAAUUAUAUCAUAAAUUUGUGUUCAAUUUUCAAGUCUAGCACAUGAACUCAAAACAUUCUAUGAAAAGAUAUAUAAAUUAGUCUUACGUCAUUUAAAAUUAGUCUAAAAAAGGGAGAUAGCUUGAGAGUUAUCACAAAUACAGUUUGGGUGGUAGAUCUUUCUUCACCACAUUCAUGUCGAUUCUUUGAACAAAGCCUUUUAACUCUUCAUAGAGGAUAUGAGACCUCUGGUUCAUAAUUUUCACAUCUGUCAUAGUUGAAUUGAUGUGUUGUCCAUUCUCUAUAGGGUUUUGGAAGCUGCAAAUUAAAACAUUUGGUUAGACACAUUCUUUAAUAUGAUUCAUCGCUAAACGAUACAUGCAUUAUCUAUAUAAAAAUUUGUCAAUAAAUAAGAUAUGUAUUACCUACAAAAAAAAUUUGUGAAUAAAGUGAUCGAUAAUGUAUAUUUCAUUUAUUAGUGAAAAAAUUUGUUUGUAAAUGAGAUAUACAUUACUUACAUAAAAAGUUCAUCAAUAAAUUCGUUGAUAAUGAAACGUGCAUUAUUUAUAGAAAAAUCCGUCGAUAAAUUAGAUAUGUAUUACUUCCGAAAAAAUCUAUUGAUAAAAUGGGUGAGAAUUUUGCCACAUAUAUUUUAUUUAUCGACAGAUUUUUUUCGUCUGUAAAUCAAAUAUACAUUGAAAAAUUCGUUCGGUAAAAUGAGUGAGAAUUUUUCUGGUCAUUUUUUCCUCUGCUAAUGAGAGAGAAACAUUAUAUAUUUUUCACUUUCUCACAGAUGUUCAUCUUUAGUGCACGAAGCAGCUUCAUCUUCCCCGUCUUCUUCCUCUCAACUCCACCACAACAGCUACAAGCCUUCAUCUUCGUUCAAUCGGGUUGUCGUCUCUGUUCAUCCUUGCUAUCGUCUUCGUUCAGUCAGGUUGCCAUCUCCGUUCAGUCAGUUUGUCAUCUUUAUUCAGCUAGGUCACCACCAUCUCUAUUCAGAUAGUCAUCUUAAAUAUAUUUCAAAUUCAGAUGUUACACAUAUUUAUAUGAGUAGUGAAUAAUUGAUUAUGAACUAUAAAUAAUCAAUUGUUGUAAAUUAUUUUGUUGAAACUAAACUUUUCCUAAUUAGUUGAUUAUUUGAGGCAACGAUUGAUUAUGUUAUAUGCUUCUUUCAAGAAAAACAUCACAUUCUCUAAUUAUCUAUUAUGUUUAAUUAUGUUGAUUCAAAAUUGUUAAUAGGUUACAUGAAAAACAUAUAUAUUAACAUAAUAUGAUUAAGUAUAACAGAUUAUAUUAAUUAGUAACCUCAACACUCUUUUAAAAGAAAAAUUCUCUCUCGUUUAUUUUAUGAAUGAGAUAUUAAAAAACUAUUCUAGAUUUACGAAGGGAAAGUGAUUAUACUAUUGAUUUUUGUUUUAAUUUUUUUUAACUUUUCCUAAUUAAAAAAUAAUAAUUGUUUAUAUCUUAUGACAAUAAUAUUAUAUAUUAAUAUUAAUAUCACGUGUAAUUUAAUUCUAUUUUUUAAAUAAUUUUGAUCAUUUAUAAAUUGAGAUUAAAUUUAAUUUUUAUAUAAAUAUUAUAUUGAUAUUUAUAUUAAAAUUACAUCAAUUUUUAAAAAUAUUGAAAUUUAAUUGAGACAAAAAUAUUAAAGACUAAUUUGAAAUAUCUUUGACGAAAAUUAAAAUAAAAAUAUAUUUAAACCUGAAAAAAAUAUACAUUAAUUAUUAGAUAAAUAGAUGAUUUAGUACAAUAAAGAUUAAAUAAUUUUUUUUCGAUUAAAUAAAAAUGAAACAUGCUAUUCUUGUUAUAUUAAACUAAUUAUUUAUUAGUGGUUAAUUAUUUUACAAUUAGAACGUUUUUGAAGAAUUUGUUUUGAAGUCAAAAUUUAUUACAUAACUGCAUAUACAUUCAUUUGAUAUUAAAAAAAUGCAUUAAUAACAUAUUAAUGCAUGGAAUUAUGAAAUACAAUUGAUUGAUUUCAUUUCAAAUCAAAUCCUUAGAAGAAUGAUUCGUAAAUAAUCUAUGUGUAACCUCCAAAAUAGAAAUUGUUUCAAACUAUGAAAUAAUAUGUAACAGCAACUAAACAAAUACGAUAAUAUAAUAAUUUCACACAGAAAAAUGAAAUAAGAGUCAUUCAAUUAAGAAAUAUAAUUUUUUUAAUAUUCAAUAAACUAUACAAAUUUAUUAAGUACUGAAUUUAGCAUAUAGAAAUUUAGGGGAGACUCUAAACUUCAUGAAAAGAAACUCUAUAAAUAAAUACCUUACUCUAUCCAUGUUUUAAAAAUCACUUUUCUUCUUUCUCUACCAUCUCUCCACCACCAUUCUCUCUUUCUUUUUUGGUUUAAUCAUUUAGAUUGUCCCUAUUUAUGUUGGAUUUUCUCAGUAUUUUAAAACGUCUUAAUUAAGUCCCUAUUUUUGUAAGAUUGAAUCAAUUAAGGGUUUGCCGUUAACUUAACUAAACGAUGUUAAAAUUGACUGGGGUGGCAUGCUGACAGUUUAUACUGUUUUCUCACAAUUUUUAAUUAAAUUGAGUGUGAGUGUCAGCCCUGAGAAAACAGAGGCUCGAGAUUUCUCUCCCUCUCGAAGGGUUAGUCCCUCUUGAACCCACGCACACCACUGCCUCAGUCAACCGGAAUCGCCACCGCAACGGCCCUCCCGGUUUGUCCAAAGAGUCACCGGCGGCCUUCGCCGGCCACAACGUUUUCCCCCUUUCUCCCUCUCGCUCCGAUAACCAUAGAAGCCCCCCAUCUUCGCCGGCAGCCACGAGCCACUCUCGCCUCCAUCCAACUGAUCCAGCCACCGCGACGGAUCCCCCUCUGUCCAAGGCGUCGCCAGCGAACACUGCCGGCCACGACAUUUAACCAUUCCUGGCUCCUCUCUGCACGCAAGGAGGAGGCGCCCUCGCCGUUCAUGAUGUGCCCAGUCGUCGUCGAAAUGAGCCACCACCACAGAAUCACCCUCAAGCCCUAGAAUCCCGUCGCCUAACGUCAUCGCAAACACCACCCAGACCGCCACUCUCAAAUCUUGUCACCUCCACUAGUCAGGGCCGUCAUUUGCCUUCUCAUGGCCUUGGACGAUUUACAGGUUGGAUGAUGGUAUGAUGCGAGAGCUGGUUCAGUGCAGGUAGGAUACAAGCUUGUGCGUGGGGCUAGAAAUUGAUUUUGGUUCUUGGUGAUUGGUUUUAUUUUUGUGGAUUUGUGUAGUGCAGGUCAAGCAAGAUGGUGUGAUGCGUGAGUUACGAUGGAGGUUCUAACGGAGUGAUUCUGGUGAAGAUGGACAUACUGGUUCUGGUUCUGAUGUUUUCUUUUUUCUGCUUUGUUUCUCUAGUGAGGAUAUAGCUUAAAAACAAAGGGGAGGUUUUUGAAGUGGAUUAAAAGCAGAAGGAAUUUUCAUGGCUCAUUGUGCUCAGGAGAAUAGGAUGAAGGAGAGCAAUACAUAAUAGAAAAUGGAAGACUCCUAAUAUGAGAAAAUGGAACAAUGAAAUUUUAUUAAAAGAAAUGUGACAAAACCAAGUCAGCUCACCGUAAACUGACACCUAAGCCAAGUUUGGAUGUCAUGCAUAUUCAAUUUUAAUACCGUUUAUUCAAUUUAACGGCAAAUCCUUAAUUGACUCAAUUUUGCAAAAAUAAGAACUUAAUUGAGACAUUUUAAAAUAUUGGGACCUAAUUGAGAAAACUUAACAUAAAUAAGGACAUUCUAAAUGAUUAAACCUUCUUUUUUAAGAUCUUUCUUUUUCCACCAUCUAUUUAAAACAUUGUUAAAUAAUGUUUUUACCUCUUUGUGAAAUGAGACUAUCGACUCAUUCUAGUGAUAUUAUAAUAUUAUUUUAAAUUAAAAUAUCAACUUGUUGUGAAUGUCUCUCUUUCACAAUUAAGAAAGAAACAUUAAAAUAAUUUACCCACUUGUUGUGAAUGUCUCUCUUUCACAAAUGAACCUUUGUUGCUAUGUCCAUUCAUAACAUAUCCUUCCACAACUUCCACAUUUGUUGCUGCCACAUGUUUCUAUUCCGAGCUCUGCAUACCUACCAUUUAUUAUCUUAUGAUUUUUGAAGUAGAAACACGUGCUGCUAUAGCACCAUCUUUGGUUCUAUAUAAAGAACCAAAAAGCAGUACUCCAAAACAUCUCCAACAACACCUUCCAAAUCGAUCAACCAUGAAGCCAACCGUAGUUCUUGCUCUCUCUUUCCUCCUUCCCCUCCUUGCUUUCUUCACCAACAUUCCCUUAGCUUUCUCAGAUGAUGUUGAACAAGUUGUGGACAUAUAUGGGAACCCCAUUUACCCAGGUUUUUCAUACUACAUCAUCCCAGCACUCCGUGGUCCAGGUGGUGGUGGAUUGAAACUUGCCCAAACUGGAAACUCAGAGUGCUCUCUUACUAUCCUGCAAGAUUACUCUGAAGUCUUCCGUGGCCUUCCUGUGCAAUUCACCAUUCCCGGAAUCAGUCCUGGAAUCAUCUUCACAGGUACUAAUUAAAACUUAAUUGUCAUGAAUUGAAUUGUUAGAAGUUUCAAGUGGAUUAAAAGUAAAACCAAUUUAUAAUAUAUAAUAUAACGCUGAUUUUGUGAGAUUGAGUCAAGUUUAAAGUUCACUCCUUAAUAUGGUAUCAUAGUAAUGAUUAGAGUCUAUCUUAAGAUAUUUGUUGUUUAUUGAACAUUUUGUUCGACCUGUUAUCGGAUCAUUAUUCGACCACUUAUUAAUAUCUAGUCUCACGCUUUGUUUAUACGUUGGACGUAAAGAGUGUGUUGAGAGUGUGACAUCAAUUAAUGAUAAGAUAAAAUUAAUUUGUAAUAUAUAAAUGAAUGUGGACCUCGUCUUAUUAGAGACCGGUUUUAUAAUAUUGAAAUAGGUUUGAAAUUGACUUAUAAAAUUUCGUAUAAAUUAUCUUCUGUUACUAAUUUCAAGUUUUGGAAACAUCCCUAUAGGUACCGAACUGGAGAUCGAGUUCGUAGAGAAGCCAUGGUGUGCAAAAUCCUCCAAGUGGUCGUUGUUCAUAGAUGUAUCAAUCGGGAAGGCAUGUUUGGGAAUUGGUGGUGCCGAAGGCCAUCCAGGGCAAUCAACUUAUGAUGGCAAAUUUCACAUUAAGAAAUACAUAUUUGGGUACAAGCUUGUGUUCUGCCUCGAUGCCACAAAAGCUUGCUUGGAUAUUGGGAGAUUUGAUGCCAAGAACGGCGAGGAAGGAAGACGCUUGAAUACGACUCAGGAUGAAGCAUUCGAUAUUGUGUUCGUACCAGCUUUUAAAGCUGAUAAGGUUAUUAAGUCUGUAGCUUGAGUCAAAUAUCUCUAGUUAAUCAGAUUUUAGUUAAUGCAUAUGUUGUUGUUUUGAAAGUGCUGUGCCCUUACUGUUUGAUUAUUUAUACAUUGGUCAUAUAUAUAUAUAUAUAUAUAUAUAUAUAUAUAUAUAUAUAUUAUUUUACAUUGUUACUUAAUGGAAAGUGACUCUCAAAUUUAAACUAUUACGUUAUAAAAAUUAAGGAAAAUGAUAUUUUUACACCAAUUUUUGACACUAUUUUGACACUGCACACGUGUCAAAACAUGGUUGGACGAUAUUAAAUUAAAAAAACUGAAACAAGGACAUAUUUGGAAGAAAAAAACCAAACUUUUUUUUUUAAUUUGAAAUCAUCCAACCACGUUUUGACACGUGUACAGUAUCAAAAUGGUGUCAAAAAAUUGGUGUCAAAAUAUCAUUUUUCAAAAAUUAAAUCAAAAUGUGAAAGAAUGUGUGAGUUCUAUUUUAAUUGAAAAUAUGUAUAUGUCAGAAUUUCUCUUCAAGAACUUUUAGGAAGAAAAAAAAAAUGAAAUUAGUAUCUCAAUAAAUUAAAAAUAAUUUAUUAAUAAAUUAAUCUAUUGACAUUAUUUUACGUAGCUUCUUAAGAGUUAUUUUUAACUUACGUAUGAUGCCAUUUUAGUUUAUGAAAAACUUUAUGUAUUUUUAUUUUUUUUAUCUUAAAAGUUGUUAAGGAGAAACUCGUAUUACUAUAAAGACUCCUAUUACAUAUUUAGACAGAAUAUACGAUUUAAUGUGCGAAAGUUUUAGUGGAAUAAACAGUCAAUUAACAUAACAUGGUAGGGAUUAUCAACCGAAUACAUUUCCUACUCACGGUUAUACCUACAAACAUCAAAGCAUUUUUUUUUAAUCAACAAAGAAUAAAUAUAAUUAUAUUGGAUCACUUGGUUGCUCUAUCCCAUUUACAUAAUAUAUGUUAGUAUUUUAAUCUGAAUAUCUCCCAACUGUAAUAACUGUCCUCUGACAGUUAUUCUCAUUCUUUAGUUUUACUCUUUAAAUACUUCUUUUGUACUCUCUAUUUCAAUUUUCUUCAAUAAGAAUAACUCUCAUUUUCUUCAAACUCUCUUACACUCUGUAUUCUCUCCUCUGCAUAAUUGCUUCUCUGCAUAAUUCUUCCAAACUGUAACAUUGGUAUCAGGAGCUAGGAAAUUCGGUGAAGACAGCUCAAGUCAUUUCAAGAAGAAAAGUGUUCGUGAGUAAUGGCUGGAAUGAUGCACAGCAACCUACCUGUUUUCGAUGGCAAAGGAUUCGAUGAUUGGUGUAUUAAGAUGGACGCGAUCCUCGGCUUUCAAGAGGUAGAUGAAAUUGUAAGAAAAGGUUUUAAAGAACCUGUCAAGGAUGAUUCAGAAGCAGCCAAGAAGCUAUACAAGGAAAACAAGAAGUUGGAUUGCAAAGCAAGAAUGUUGUUGCAUCAGUGCAUAUCGGCAACAAUUUUUCAGAAAGUCUCAAAGGCUACUACGGCGAAGGAGAUUUGGGAUAUCUUGCAAGAUGGUUAUGGCAAUUCUGGAAAGGUCAAGAAGACAAGAUUACAGUCAUUGCAGAGACAGUAUGAACUUCUCGCCAUGAAGGAGCAAGAAACAGUGGUCGAAUACAUUGGUAGACUUCAAUUGAUUGUGAAUGCAAUGAGAGCGUGUGAUAAGAUUGUCAAAGACAAGAAAAUUGUAGAGAAAAUACUCAGAACCCUAACCCCUCAAUUUGAUCAUAUAGCUUUGACCAUAGAAGAAACUAAAGAUCUCGAGAAGUUGAAGGUGGAGGAAUUGCAGAAUUCUUUAGAAGCGCAUGAGCAAAGAUUAAUCGAAAGGAGAAAUGUUGAAAAAGGCGAAAAUCAAGGCGUGAGUCAAGCAUUACAAGCCAGAAAUGAUUACAAACCCAGAGGCCGUGGGAGAGGCAGAGGUCGAUCAAGAGGAGGACGCAAUGGUGGUAGAGGCAUGAAACCAUCAGAUCAAAGUAAUGAAGAUAAUGGAGGUGAACAAAAGAAUGGAAGUGGUCGAGGAGGUCGACACUCGAGAGGCAGAGGCAGAAAGGGUUAUGACAAAAGGAGUAUCCAGUGCUUCACUUGCAGCAAAUACGGCCAUUAUUCCACGGAGUGUUGGCAUAAUGAAGAUUCGAAGGGAACCAAGAAUGGAGGGUCAGCCAAUCUUGCACAAGAAACUGAAGAAUCAGAGUCUGAUCAUAUUGUGUUAAUGAGCACAAUUGAAAGAUUCGAAAAAGGGCAAUGUAAGAAAUUGACGUUGAACGGGAUUAAGCAAGAAAUGAUUCUGGUGGACAGAUGCAACGAAGCACAUGUGUCAAUCUCAGAAGAAAGUGGAGAACACGUGUCGUCAUCGUUCGAAAGAAGACAUGCAGCAAAAGACGUAGCACCCGCACAUACGUUGUCGUUCGAAAUGAGACAUGAAGCGAAAGAUGUAGCUCCCACACAUGCGUUGCUCUCAAACGGUGUAAAUCAAGCGGCGAAUGAUGAUUCAUGUAGCUGGUAUUUGGACACGGGUUGUUCGAACCAUAUGACAGGGAGACGAGAAUGGUUAGUAAACCUCGAUCCAAGUAUAAAGAGCCGUGUGCGAUUUGCGGACAACAGCACGAUCAUGGCGGAAGGAGUUGGCAGAGUCUUGAUCACUUGCAAGAACGGUAAGAUCGCUUACAUGGAUGACGUCUUGUAUGUUCCUUCAAUGAAGAGCAACUUGUUGAGUUUAGGGCAACUCCUGGAGAAAGGGUACACCAUGUCUAUGCAUCAGCGACAUAUAGAAAUAUUUGACAGCAAACAACGUCCUGUGAUUAAAGCACCACUUGCCCGUAACAGGACUUUCAAAGUGAAUUUGAACGCUGCAGCUAUACAGUGUUUGUCUGUCUCAAACCACGAAGAAGAAGGAUGGCUAUGGCACUACAGAUACGGGCAUCUAAAUUUCAAAGGCCUGAGUCAAUUGAAAGGCAAGGAUUUGGUGAAAGGUGUGCCUUCAAUAUUUGUUCCAGACAGAAUCUGUGAGGGUUGUGCUAUAGGCAAGCAAUCUAGAAGGAGAUUUCAACAAUUGGCACCCAAAAGAGCGAAACAGCCUCUGGAUGUUGUCCACUCAGACGUUUGCGGCCCCUUCGAUGUUCCAUCAGUUGGAGGUAACAAAUAUUUCUUGUUAUUUGUAGACGAAUGGACGAGAAAAAUGUGGAUAUAUUUGUUGAAAGCAAAGAAAGAGGUAUAUUCAUAUUUUGUGAAAUUUUGCUCUUUGGUGGAGAGACAAUCUGGCUCGCAGGUUAGGGUGUUCAGAACCGAUGGAGGAGGAGAGUUCAACUCCUCUGAGAUGGACAAGUUUUGCACUGAAAAAGGCAUUGUGCAUGAAGUAACGGCUCCCUACACACCACAGCAUAACGGCCUAGCUGAAAGAAGGAACAGGACGAUAGUUGAUAUGACGAGAUGUAUGAUUAAAGCCAAGCAAUUGCCGCAUUGUUUGUGGGGAGAAGCAACAUCUACUGCUGUCUAUCUUCUGAAUAGAAGUCCUACGAAGGCCUUGCCUACAUGUACCCCUGAAGAAGCCUGGUCUGGAAUUAAACCAACUGCAUAUCAUUUGAGAGUUUUCGGGUCUGUGUGCUAUAGACACAUCCCAGAUGAACGAAGGAAGAAACUGGAUGAUAAGAGUGAGAUUCUCAUCUUUGUUGGCUAUCAUCCUACAGGUGCUUACAGACUGUAUGACCCAGUAAAGAAGCAGGUUGUCAUCAGUCGAGAUGUGGUGGUGGAUGAAACAACAACAUUUGACUGGGAGAAGGCUGAAGAAAAAUCUGAAGGAGGUUGUAUUCCAAGUUGGCUUGAGGAUAAGAGUUCCUUCAAUGAUGAGCAAACAGACGCAGACCGUGAAAUUAACAAUAGAAGAUCACAAAGGACAAGGUUUCCAUCCACCAGACUUACAGACCAUGAAGUCUUUCCUGACAAUGAAGUUACUAGCUCAGGUGAUCUUGUACAUUUUGCGUUUUUGGCCGACACAGAACCACUGACCUGGAAGCAAGCUAUUGAUGUAAAGGAGUGGAGAGAAGCCAUGUUGGAGGAACUUAAGGCAAUAGAGAAAAACAGAACCUGGGAGAUGGUGGAAUUACCUCAGCAUAAACAGCCCAUUGACGUUAAAUGGGUGUUUAAAAUCAAGCACAAACCAGAUGGUGAAGUAGCAAAGUUCAAAGCCAGAUUGGUGGCAAGAGGUUUCUUACAAAAGCCUGGAGAGGAUUUCACUGAUGUGUUUGCUCCUGUUGCACGACUUGAAACAGUGAGGUUGUUGAUUGCUGUGGCCAAUAUUAAAGCUUGGAGAAUUUGUCAAAUGGAUGUUAAAUCCGCUUUUCUGAACGGUUUUUUGGAGGAAGAGGUUUAUGUGAGACAACCUCCAGGUUUUGUGAAGAAAGGAGAAGAAGGAAAAGUGUAUAGAUUGAACAAAGCUUUAUAUGGUCUCAGGCAGGCACCUCGUGCUUGGAAUAACCAUAUCAACGCAGUUCUGCUCAAACUGGGAUUCAAGAGGUGCUCCGUAGAAUCUGGAGUCUAUGUGAAAUCUGGUGAAAGGCAAGGUAUGUUGUUGAUAUGCCUAUAUGUGGAUGAUCUUCUUAUAACAGGAGACUCAAUAGAUGAAAUUGAAGAAUUUAAGAAGAAGAUGAAGGAGGAAUUUGAGAUGACAGAUCUCGGUGGUUUAAGCUACUUCCUGGGUUUGGAAUGUGUGCAGACAAGCGGUGGAAUGUUUCUUAGUCAAAGGAGAUAUAUUAGCAAUGUGUUGAGAAGAUUUAAGAUGGAAAACUGCAACAGUGCAGCAGUACCAAUAAUGACAAAUUUGAAGUUGAUAGACAAUCCAGAUGAGAAGAAGGUGGACGCCACUUUAUAUAAACAAAUGGUAGGAUCCUUGCGUUAUAUUUGUAAUAGCAGACCCGAUAUCUGCUAUGGAGUUGGGCUGGUGAGCAGAUUUAUGCAGGAGCCUAGACAAUCACAUCUUGCUGCUACCAAACACAUAUUGCGAUAUUUGAAGGGAACUUCAAAUUUUGGUCUGUUCUUCCCCAAAAACCCGAACAACAUGAGAGGAGUUUUGGAGGCUUGGUGUGAUGCUGACUGGUGUGGUGACAAAGUUGAUAGGAAAAGUACUUUUGGGUACUUGUUCAGAUAUAUGGGAGCGACUGUUUCGUGGUGCUCCAAGAAGCAGAGCGUGGUCGCAUUAUCCUCUUGCGAGGCUGAAUAUAUCGCAGCUGCUGAGACUGCGUGUCAGUGUGUGUGGAUGGAAACUAUGUUUGAUGAACUAAGGAUUGAGUACGGAAAACCGGUGCAGCUCUCAGUGGAUAAUAAAUCAGCAAUAUGUUUGUCCAAAAAUCCAGUUUUUCACGGUAGGAGCAAACACAUUGAAACCAAAUUUCAUUUCCUAAGAGAUCAAGUCAGCAAAGGUAGAUUGGAGCUGGUUCAUUGCAGCACUGAUGAUCAAAUUGCAGAUGUGUUCACCAAAGCUUUGAAGCAAGUCAAAUUUGAGAAACUUAGAGAAUUGCUUGGUGUUAAAACUUUUGUAAAUUCAGAUUAAGGAGGGCGUGUUAGUAUUUUAAUCUGAAUAUCUCCCAACUGUAAUAACUGUCCUCUGACAGUUAUUCUCAUUCUUUAGUUUUACUCUUUAAAUACUUCUUUUGUACUCUCUAUUUCAAUUUUCUUCAAUAAGAAUAACUCUCAUUUUCUUCAAACUCUCUUACACUCUGUAUUCUCUCCUCUGCAUAAUUGCUUCUCUGCAUAAUUCUUCCAAACUGUAACAUAUAUACAAAUUAUUUUUUUCUACAUUAGUCAUAACGUUGAUUUGAAAAUUUUUCUAAUAUAAAAAAAUCUUUUUAUACUAGUUAAAAGAGGUUUUCUAUACCAAUUGUAAAAUCGAUAUAUAGAAACAAACAAUAAAAAAGUUUUAACUUUUCUAUAACGAAUUCAUAAUUGGUAUAGGAAGUUUCUUUUUUUCAUAAUGGUUAAUACCACAAUCGGUAUAAUAACCUAAUGCUUUCUUUUUCUUUUGUUCGCCUAUGAACAUAACAUUCUUAAACACAUCAACCAUGAAUCUAGAGCAAAACCAAGAACUAAAAAAUAAUUAUUCACUAAUUGAAUGCCCCACAAUUGCAUCUGUUGUCAUCGUUGACGUCUGACACUUCUUUAGAGCCUUUGAACAUAACAUCACUUCUUCUCUUGAGCAUUCUUUUCAAACAAAAACAACCAAGGUGCAAUAACUUCAAAGAACCUCUAAGUCAUCGCUCUAUACUUAUACUUGUGGUCGUCGACGGUUUCGCUAACACAACCUUUUUCUCCCUCUUAAGGGUUUCUCCAUAUCUCCCAAGUGUUUAUCUCCUCAUGCUUUGUUGCCAAUAUGUUGUGACGGCUUACAACUAGAGGUGUAGCACUACCUCGUCACCAUCGUCUAAGUCGUUGUUGGUGCUGGCGCAACCUCUCUACUCCUUCCACUUCAUAUGAGUGUCUUCCUUCUUGCUCACCAAAAUUAAAAUCCUCUCCAUUAUACUGAGAGUGACACCACUUAAUCUUGUUGUUGAUCGUCGCUAAACCAAUAUUCAGAUAUGUUUUUGGCACAUUGUUCUUUACAAUUAAUAAACAUGAGGAUCCUUUAGAAAUCUUCCUUUGAGAAUUUUGAUAUAACGUUGAGAUUCCCAAAGUCUUGUUGACUUUUUUGUUGUGUUACAUUUGUGUUGUUUAUGGGUGCUAGCUAAGAUAAAUGAAAGCGUUAGAGAAGAAUGGUUGGAUGGAAUUUAUUAUAUGAAAACUAUGAGUAUGGAGUUGAAGAUCACAAAUAAUAAUCGAGAGUUCAGAGAUAUGACAAAAUUUUUUGAAAUUAUCGACGGAAAUAAAUUUGUCUAUAAAUUUGAAUUAUCGAAGGAUUUUGCUGACAAAUUUUUAAUUCCGUCAGUAAUGCAUAUUUCAUUUACCGACAAAAUUUUUCGUCGAAAAAUCCGUCGAUAAUACAUAAUAAAUUUAUCGGUGAAAAAAUUUAUCAUUAAUACAUAUUAAAUUUAACAAUGGAAAGGUUUGUCGGUAAAUCCAUAGGAAAUACAUAUUAAAUUUAUCGAUGGAAAAAUAUGUCGGUAAAUCUGUUGGUAAUACAUAUUUAAUUUACCGACGGAAAGUCCUUCGAUAAAUCCUUUGAUAAAUACGUCGAUAAAAAGAACGACAAAUUUCCCACCCAUUCUUUGUCUCUUUUCGCGAACUGCACAUUACUUUUCUCACCACUUUUCUUUUAUUUUCAAAACCCUCUUCAUCUUCUUUUCUCUCCGUGAGGCAGCCCCUCAUCUCUCCUAUUUUUUCCAUCUAAGCUUAGAUUACCGCAACUCUAGGCCCAUUUGAUGCGCCUCCAUCUUUGUUUAGCCAAACCGCCAUCUACGUCGCCAUCUAUGUCGUCAAGCUUGGGAUCUUUCGCUUCGCUUCAUCUUCUUCUUCUUUAACACAUGUAAGGGAGAGAUCAUGGUUCAGUUCUUCCUUUUUCAUGCAAGGGCACAUCCAAGCUAGGUGCACUAUUGUCGUGCCACGCACUAGCACCACUAUGCAUCAUCGUUGGACCAUGAUGGAUUUGAAGCCAACAAAAUCCUUUUAUUCUCUUUUCUCUCUUUUUUAUUUGUAUUUGUGGUGAAAUAAUUUGAUAGGUUGGCUAUAAUUUUGUGUAGGUUAUGAAAUUGUUGUAAUAAUAGUUGGGUGAUAAUAAAAUUGUGUAACAAACCAAAGUGGAAUAGUGAAUAAAAGCAUAACGAUGAAAUUUUGUGCAUAAAAUUGUAUCAAUUUGUGUAACAUUCGAUUAUAAUGUGUCCAUUUUUGUUGAUUGAAAAAAAAAUAAGGGAAAGAAGAAAGGAAGAGGGGAAGAAGUUGAACCAGAUCUUAGUAGUUUGCAACCAAUUCAUUUUUUGUAUCUGUUAGGUCCAACCAAUAUAUGAAGUGUUCUACUUAUUUACCAAAUUGUCACCACAUUAGAUGGAGAACUAACCCAUGACUCCAUAUAAGAAGAACUUGAGGAGGAGCCUUUUGCAUGAAGGUAUGAAGGUCAUAGCUUGGAGCACAAUCUUGGUAAUACCUACACUUGUGGUGCAUCAGGUUUUUUCUUUUUGUUUAUUCAUUGUGUAUUAGUGUUGCCUUUGUUGUUUAGGCAAGGCUUCCAAAGGGAGUGUGUGUAGACUCUUAUUUAAGAAUGUGUUUUGUUGUGAUUGAGAGAGUGAGAGUAUAUUGAGUGAGUCUUGUAUUCUAUAAAUCUUGACAUUUGAUUUUAGUGGACUUCAACUCGAGUUGUUGAAAAAAAGAUUGAAUGUAAAUUCUUGAAGAGUUGAACCGAUAUAAAUCUUGUGUUGUUUUCUUUCACUAAUCUUGUUAAAUCUUUGGAAUGUUAAAAGAUUCAUUGAAAACAACCUUAUACACCAAUUUUUUUUAAAGAAAGUUAAAAGGAAUUUUCAAACAAAUUCACUACCUCUUGUUUUGUAAUAUAUUUUUUCGUAGAACAGGAUAACCAAGCAUUAUCACCAUCAUACAACACCGACGUUGGUAAAAUUAAAAGAAAAAAGGAGAAGAGAAAAAAAAUGAACUAGAUUGCGAUAUUUACCGACAACUUUAUCUGUCGAUGUUUACCGAUAAAUUUUUCUUUUAAUAAUUUUAGACAAUUUUUUUUUCCAAUGAUUACUGACAUAUUAAUAAAAUCCUUUGAUAAAAUUUACUAACAACAAUUUUACCAACGAAUUUUUUGUUAUCAAUAAACUUUCAAUAAUUUUAAUUUACUGAUAAAUUUUGUACAUUAUCAACAAAUUUUAAUUGUUAAUAAUAUCGAUUUUUAUCUAUAAUAAAUGCUCUAAUCUUUUACCUGUAUAUCAUCUGUCGCAAUCGGAAAAUCGCGACGGGACGACGAUCCAAAAAGAAAAUAAUUUGAAAAAUGUUUUGGAGUCGCUACUAUAGUUUAUUAUGGAAAACUACGGAAAAACCGUAAAAUGAUAAGGCAAGGUCUACAAAACCAAAUUCUGGUUUCGGAAGUCGGUUACGUGUGGGGAAGGUGUUAGCACCCCCACAGCGCCUGCCCUAAGGCAGUACCUUUAACUAAAUACGUGAAUUUGAUGUGGUUUGCAAAAUGUUUAAUUUCCCCUAAAAAAUAAGACUCUAAAGAAAACAAAAUAUUUUUUGUGUUUUUUGUGUCUGACAAGGAUUGACCUUGCUCCUAUGUAUUCUCAGUUGAACUGAGAAAUCAGGGUUACGUAGUUCUUUAAUUAUGUUCAGAUGAUUGUUUGAAAACAUGAUGUUUUAUAUUUUUUGUUAAUUUUUUGAGAGGAGAAGAAAAAGGUUUUUAACACAAGGCUGAUGCAAAUGGUCGCACGUGUGCUUAAACCUUUUAAAAUAAUAUUUUUUUAUAUUUUUAAAUAGAAGAAGAAAAAGGUUUUUAACACGAACGGUCGCACGUGUGCUUACACCUUUUAAAAUAAUUUUUGUAUUUUUAAAUAGAAGAAGAAAAAAAGGUUUUUAACACAAGGCUGACGCGAAUGGUCGCACGUGUGCUUACACCUUUUAAAAUAACUUUUUUUUUUUAAAAGAAGGAGAAAAAGGUUUUCAACACAAGGCUGAUGCGAAUGGUCGCACAUGUGCUUAAACCUUUUUAAAAUAAUAAUUUUUAUUUUUAAAAGAAGAAGAAAAAAAAAGGAUUUUUAACACAAGGCUGACGCGAAUGGUCGCACGUGUGCUUAAACCUUUUCAAAAUAUUUUUGAUUGAUAGUUUUUAUGAUUUUUAUAUUUUUUUUAUUUUUAACAAACAAACAAUGAUAAAACAAAUUCUAAAGCUAAAGAAAUAAAAGCGAAGGCAAUAAUAAAAAAAACAAUAUAGUCCAAUAAGUCCAAUAAAAAAAGGGAGGGCAGAAGACAAAACCAGGGGUGCAACAUGAAACUUAUUGGCCCAUGACCAGAGGUAGGGGUGCAGCAGAUGAAAAUUGGUGGUGCGUUUGGUAGGUGCUGGCCCAAGCCCUUUUUCGUUUUUGUUGAAGCACGGUGGAGGUGUGAAUGGAAUUGAACAUGGUGGCCAGUAGAUAGAAAGUUGUCCAAUAGGCCUAAGGCCCUUUGCCCCAAAUCAGAACAAUAGGGGUUCUACCAAUUUCCUCUCAUUUGUGCAAGCACCAUCAUGACCCAGGGCCAUUUUCUUCUCUGAACGAAGGAAACAGAGACGCACCUCUACUCAACCGACCACCACAAGCUUCCAUCCAAGUCUUCACCGACAACGCCGCUUGCCACUGGGGCCAUCGCCGGCCACCGUGAGGGUUCUCCCCUUUCUUUCUCUCGCACGAGAGAUCUUCUUGUUCGUGAGUGACGUAGGCUGUUCGUCAUGCAAGUUGCCGUUGCCACCGAGCCAGGGUCGUCGUUCCCCGUCGAGCCUUCCUUCUUCCAUCAUCGCGCCACUGCCAAGGUCAUCGUCGCAACUGCAUCAAACGAAAUUCACGAGACCAUUCACGCCAACUCCUCCCUCCAUGGGUGUACCUUCGUCCAAUCAUUCCACUUCAAGUCAUCGACCUACGGCACCACUUGCCAUUGAUCUAGGUUCGCCGCAACUUUCUCCAAUUAGGCUUACCUUUGCUGCGUCUCCGAGAGCCACCACGAGUCUUCUUGUGCAACUUGCUUCAGAUUUGCCUAAAAAGUCAUCAGAACAUCUGUGUUGAUAUUGUUGCCACCCUUCGUGUAAACUUAGAACUUGCCUCUGAUAUCUGUUUUUUACUUUGAGUGUUGAGAUGAGUUCGUGUGAUGGUGAUGGAGGUAGUGAAUGAGUUUCUCUAUUUUUGUGUUUGGUGUUUCUGUGAUGGAGGGGGGUCGUGAGUGAUUGGCCCUUCUUUGUGUUUUUUAGGUGUCAGACCGAAUGGAAGGGAGGGGAUGGUGAUUCUGUUGAGUUGAUGAGGUUGGAGAUAAUGGUGGAUGCUCUGGUUUUGAGUGUAUCGAAGGUGAUGGAAUGGAAGAACGACGAGAGAGAUGAUUCUGUUGGAGGAAAAUGGGUUCCCUCCUUGAGGUUUGUGUUUUUGGCCGAAGGGAAAAAGAAAAAUGGGUAAGUGAUUGGUGUGUCAGGAAGGAAAUUCCUCCGGAGGUGUGCGUGUUGAGUGAUGGAGAGGAGUGUGUGAGGUUAAUCUAUUGGAUGAACGUCUGAUGGUCUAUUGCUUGAAUGGGGGAAUUAGAGAAGAAGGUGUCAAUAAUGGAUGUUGUUGGAGAUGAAGGGAGGAUGCUUUAUGUGUUGCGUGAUGAGGUGUGGUGUGCGUGAGGAUGGUGUGCCUCUUCCUGAAGGCCUCCCUCUUUGCCAGUAUAUCCUCUGCCAAUCCACACCGUGUCUGCCAACCCAAUCGUGCCUGCAAAAAUCGUUUCUUGCUCCCUUGCUGUCCAACCCCGUACACACUGCUCCUAUCCCAGCUAAAACCUCUCUUUUCUUUUACUUUUUUUUUACUAAAAGACAAAAAACUACACUUUUUUUCUUUUUUUUUCUUUUUUUUUCUUUCAUGUUUUUUCUUUUUUUUUUUCGUUUUCCUUUUCUUUUCUUUUGGUUCUUUCGUUUUGUUUUUUGUUUUUUCUUUCUUUCCUUUUUUUUCAUUUCUUUUCUUACUUAUUUUUUUUAUAUAUUUUGUUUUUCAAAUAGAAAAUAAAAUCAAAUGAUAGCUAAAUCAAAUAUCAAAAAACUAAAAACUAAAAUAAAAUAAGACACAUAAAAAAAUAAGUCCUACUAUUUAGUCACCCAGACGAAAUUGUGGUUGAUAUGAUUAUACUUUUCUCUUCAUGUAACAAGAAGAAACUAUCACUGUCACAUGUUUCCUGAAGUUUAUUUUUUAUGGAGUAAAUUAGUUUUGGCAAUUUGAUGCGUUAUGUACACUACUUUGAUUCUUCAAUUAAAGAAGUUUGUCAGUCAUAAUUGUACUACUACAUGAACUCAAUAUCCUACUUAUCCUACCUAACAAUUCAAUUGUUUUCUCCAUAAUAGUGUAAUAUAUAUUAGUAUUUUAAAUAAAAAAAACAAUAGUAUAUAAUUAAUAUAUUAAUUUAUUAAGUUAUUAAGCAAAUGUUUUUAUUUUUUACUGGUGUCAAAAUAACAUGUCUUUUUUUUUAAAAAAAUAAAAACUUUCAAACCCUCAGCAUUCAGACUCUUUCUAGUUUUAAGUUUAAAAAUAAAAAACAUGAUAAAGUAUUAUUUUUUUUAUGAGUUAAGUGGAUGUUUUUGUCUCUUUGUCAUGUCAAAAUAUCAGUUUUUUUAAAGAUUUGACACGCCUUAGAAUAAAUACAUUCAGAUCAAAACAUGCUAUAAUACGUUAGGGUGGACAAAUUGAACUGAACUGUACUGCACUGCUAAAAUCUGAACUGAACUCUAAAACAGUUCAGACAAACUGAACUGAACUGUAAAACAGUUCAGAAAAACUGAACUGAAUUGUUUUUCGUUUUAUUAAACUGAAUUGAAUUGUACUGUACUAAAUUACAGUAUGAACUAAACUGAACUAUUAAUUGAAUUGUAAACUACACUAACUGAACUAUUAACUGAAUUAUAAACUGCACUAAUUGAACUGAACUAUUUAUUAACUAAAUUGUAAACUAAUUUUAACUAAAGUAUAAUAUAAACUGAACUACUAACUAUACUAAUUUUAAACUAAAUUGUACUAAUUUUUAAACUAAAUAUUAUAACAAUACAUAUUGAAAUUUAUUUUAAUAUUUAUUUUAUUUUAUUCAUAAGUAUCUAAUAAAAUGAUUUUUAAUUAUUUAAUAUUAUUAUUUUCUAUUUUAUUUAUAUUUCUUUUAUUAUUAAAAAUUAUUUUAUUUUUUAUUUAUUUACUUAUAUAUAUAUAUAUAUAUAUAAAUGUAUAUAUAUAACUUAAAAAAUAUAAAAAUAUAAAUUAUGUUUUUUAUUUUUAUUGAUAAAAAAUGGAAAUUUUGUGAUAAAAAAAUUGUCUUAAAAAAUUAAUUAUUAUUUUUUUAUGUGAACAAUUUUAUUUAUUAGUAUUUUAUUAUUAAAUAAAGUUUUCUUGAGUUGUACUGAAACUAGAGAAGAUAUAAGAGUAAAUACAGUUCUCACAGUUAACUGAACUGUAAUGUUAUAAAAAACUGAACCAUAAAACAGUAUACUGAACUGUUAGUAAAAGUGGUUCAGUUAUUUUUAGUAUAAUAUAGUACAGUUAACUACAGUACAGUACAGAUCAGUUAUUUUUGCCCAACCUAAUACAUUGGGUUGAUUUGAUGAUAAUUUUGAUGAUGUAUGCAAUUUUGUUGUUGUUAUUGAUUCGCCUUAUUCGUCUCACUUAUUGUCAAAAAUAUCAUUAUCCUAGUUGAAAAUAGGAAUGCAUGCCAAACGAAUCAUAGUAUGCAAAAGGAAAUGUAUAGGAGAGACUGAACUUUUGAGCUCCCGUAACUUGUAAUUCACGUUGCUAAUAUGAGAGAAGACGUUUGCAUAAAUUUAAAUUAAAAAAGAAUUAUAUUUUUUAAUAUUAAAUAGAAAGAUAAAUAUAUCAUUAUAUAUAUAAUCAUUAUAUAUAUAUAUAUAUAUAUAUAUAUAUAUAUAUAUAUAUAUAUAUAUAUAUAAAUUAUUAACCAAGCAUUCAUAUAAAUACGGGAAACUAAUCACUAAUCACUAAUCACUAUGAUUUAAUAAUGCGCAUACUUUAAAAGAAAACUUUAAUAUCUAAAUUGGAAAAAAUUAAGAUUCAAACAGUAUAAUUGUUAUUUUGUUUUGAGGGAAUAUUUUAGUGAUUAUAUUUAAAUUAUAUUUUUUUCAUUCUUUUGCUUGUUAAUUUAAAAUAAAUAAAUUAAAAUAUAAAUAAUCUUUAUGUGGGCUAUCCUACGAGUCAAAAUGUUACGUGGAAGAAGCCAAGAAAAUUAAUUUGCAUGUCAUUGAUAGCCCUGAUUCACUUUUUAUGCACCAAAUGCAAAGCAGAACAAAACAGGACGCAUUCUCACCCUAUAAUAAAAAGAAAAUAUAUUUUAAUAAUUUUUUAGACAAUGUUUUUGAACGGUUUUUAUGGAAACGAAUCGGUAAAAUAAUAAUAUAUAAUUUGUUGUCAAAAAAUUAUAAAAUAUUAUAAUAAAAAAUAAAUAAAUGUAUGAGUCUUUCUAUAUAUAUAUUAAUCAUUUUAUUUGUAUUUAUUUAAUGUGAGAUUUCAAGGGCUUGAAUUCUUAAGAUAUGACAUACAUGUACUUAUCAUCAUGAUAAAUAAAUGACGUGGCAUUUUAGCAAAAUUAUUAUAAACCGGCGGAAAAACAUUUUGGUAGCUAACCGAAUCUUAUUAAAGCAUCAAAUUCAUAUAUAUUUUUUCUUGAGGAGUUGAUAAUGUUGAGAAUUAGAUAAAUCUAUUUUAAUUAAUUUAUCUUUUUAAAUUUCUGUUAAAUGAUUCUUUAUUUCCUGACUUUUAUUUUUCAAAAUUUCAAAAUAUUAAUUAUUUUAAUAGAUGGACCGAAUUAUUCAAUCGGCUUUUUAUUAUUAUACUUUACCACAACGUUUUAUUGAGAGAAAUAAAAUCUUAACCCUCUUUUAAAAAUAAACAAGGUCGUGCUCCACGGGAAACAUAAAAUAUUCCUCGCCACGAGCUUUAAUGUUAUAUAUAAUUUAUUUACUACUAUUAUUGCUGUGCUUCGUGAAGCUCGUGGAUUUUAACUGUUGUUAAAAUAAGAAAUAAAAUGUUAUCUCUGAUGUCUCUUUUUAUUUUUAUAUUAUAACUUUUCUAAUUAUUAAAAGAAAGGUUGCUAUCUUUUGUGACACGUGUCUCAUUGGAUUGCUAAAACAAAGUCAACUUCUUGCUUUAAUUUGUAUUGUGUCAAAUAACUAUCGAAUAUGUUUGUAUAUUUUAAAAUUACAAAACAAUAUAUAUAUAUAUAUAUAUAUAUAUAUAUAUNNNNNNNNNNNNNNNNNNNNNNNNNNNNNNNNNNNNNNNNNNNNNNNNNNNNNNNNNNNNNNNNNNNNNNNNNNNNNNNNNNNNNNNNNNNNNNNNNNNNNNNNNNNNNNNNNNNNNNNNNNNNNNNNNNNNNNNNNNNNNNNNNNNNNNNNNNNNNNNNNNNNNNNNNNNNNNNNNNNNNNNNNNNNNNNNNNNNNNNNNNNNNNNNNNNNNNNNNNNNNNNNNNNNNNAUAUAUAUAUAUAUAUAUAGAUAAUAAUAUUUAGACAACAUUUUUUUGACAAUAUUUGAACAUUGAUUAUGUUUUAAUAUGUGAUUGGUCAUAAAUUACUUUAUAAUCAAUAAUAAUAAUCACAAACACUAUUAUAAAAUAAUUUACGACCAAUCACGUAAUCAAUGUUAAAAUGUUAUCAAGAAAAUAUUGUCUAAAUAUCAUUAUCAUAUAUAUAUAUAUAUAUUAAUUAGAAAAACCAUAUAAACAAUCAAAUUAAAUAUAUAAGUUCUUCACUUAAAACAAAUAAAAGCAUAAAAAUACAUCAAUAUAUAAAUUCCAAUUUUGUAUAGUUUCUUAGCUUAGCAAUUACAUUAAAAUAACUGAGUCCAACUUCAUCCUUAUCCAUAUAUUGUACUUGCAUAGCAUGACAUCUAAUCUUUUACUUACACUGAGCACGUCGCUAAAGACAUCUAUAUAGUCUCUCCGAAUUUUUUUAAAAUCUUUUUAUUAUAAAUGAAUUUGAAUUAAUUUUAUUCUAAUAGCCUUAAAGAAUAAAAAGUAUAAAAAAAAUUGACAAUAAUUAUCUUCGUAUAAUUAUAGAUCAUAAUUAUACAGUUCUGUUAUGAACUUUACAAAUAUUUAGACUAUAUAUAAAUGAACAAAAUUGAUUAUUAUAUAUCUUUUCUGUUAAAACCAACAUUGAAAAUGAUGAUUUUCAGAAAAUAUUUUUAUUGGUAAGAAAAAAAAAUUGGUUUUCGGAUAAAAAACUCGUUUCAAAAUUCUACGAUAUCAUAUUUCACAACAUUAUGGAUCAAACUACCAAUAAUUGCUUUCUUUUUUUAAAAAUUGCCAAUUCUUUACAUUUCUCCACCUAUAACAUUUCAAAUAUCUUAACACAAAUUAUUAUUUUUCAUUAAAAAUCGAGUUAUUUUAAAAAUAUAUUUCAUUAAUUUAAUAAAUUAACUAUAAUUCAGUUAUUAAAUUUAGAAAAAAAUAUUAAAAUAAUUUACCCACAUGUUGUGAAUGUCUCUCUUUCAUAAAUGAACCUUUGUUUCUAUUCUGAGCUCUUUCUUUCCUUCUUUUUUCCUUUCUCUAUGUUGGAAAUUGAACUCUCCAUAUAUAAUUAAACCAUGUAUUAUCUUAUGAUUUUUGAAGUAGAAACACGUGCUGCUAUAGCACCAUCUUUGGUUCUAUAUAAAGAACCAAAAUGCAGUACACCAAAACAUCUCCAACAACACCUUCCAAAUCGAUCAACCAUGAAGCCAACCCUAGUUCUUGCUCUCUCUUUCCUCCUUCCCCUCCUUGCUUUCUUCACCAACCUUCCCUUAGCUUUCUCAGAUGAUGUUCAACAAGUUGUGGACAUAUAUGGGAACCCCAUUUUCCCAGGUUUCAUAUACUACAUCAUCCCAGCAAUCCGUGGUCCAGCUGGUGGUGGAUUGAAACUUGCCCAAACUGGAAAGUCAGAGUGCCCUCUUACUGUUCUGCAAGAUUACUCAGAAGUCUUCCGUGGCCUCCCUGUGCAAUUCACCAUUCCCGGAAUCAGCCCUGGAAUCAUCUUCACAGGUACUAAUCAAUACUUCAUUGUCAUGAGAAUCGUUAGAAGUCUCAUCUCGACUGAAUGGAUGUAGUGAGCCGAUUUUGCAAGAUUGAAUUAGACUUAAAGUCUAUGGUAUUAUAGUUAUGAUCAGAAUCCAUCCUAACGAUAUUUGUUAUCUGUUGAACAUGUUGUUUCACCUGCUAUUAGGUCAUUAUCCGACUAUAUAUUAAUGUCUAGUCUCACGAUGAUAUGUUUAUACCUCAAUUUAUAGAUUGAAUUGAGCUUAAAUUUGAUUUCCUAACAAAUUUCUUAUAAAUGAUCUUCUGUUAUUAAUUUCAAGUUUUGGAAACUUCCCUAUAGGUACCAAACUGGACAUCGAGUUCGUACAUAAGCCAUUAUGUACAGAAUCCUCCAAGUGGUUGGUGUUCGUGGACGAAUCAAUCCAGAAAGCAUGCGUGGGAAUUGGUGGUGCCGAAGGCCAUCCAGGGCAACAAACUUUUGGUGGCAAAUUUCACAUUGAGAAAUACAAAUUUGGGUACAAGCUUGUUUUCUGCAUCACCGGCUCACCAACUUGCUUGGAUAUUGGGAGAUUUGAUGCAGAGAACGGUGAGGAAGGAAGACGCUUGAAUCUCACUGAGCAUGAAGCAUUCGAUAUUGUGUUCGUACCAGCUUUUGAAGCUGAUAAGGUUAUUAAGUCUGUAGUUUGAAUCAAAUAUCUCUAGUUAAUCAGAUUUUAGUUAAUGCAAUCAUAUGUUGUUUUGAUUUGCAUUACCUAAGAGAAUCUAGUCCAAAGACUGAAUAAGAUAGUUAAUUUCUAAUUUCUUGCCUGAUAUCUUUCUCUCUUUCAUUUCGUUCAAACUUCAAUGAAAGACAUUAAAAAAUUUAGGUUUAAUAUUCUGAAAUGCCCACACAAGCCGACGUGGUUCUGCCAUGCACAACUUUAAAUACUAAACAUCAUAUAUUAUAUAUAAUAAAAUAUUAGUCCUCGUGACCCUCGACCUAUUCGAC